GCUUACGGCCAUACCAACCUGGCGAUGCCCGAUCUCGUCUGAUCUCAGAAGCUAAGCAGGUUUGGGCCUGGUUAGUACUUGGAUGGGAGACAGCCUGGGAAUACCAGGUGCUGUAAACU
rnacentral:rRNA from 1 species